AUUGAACGCUGGCGGCAGGCUUAACACAUGCAAGUCGAGCGGAGAUGAGGUGCUUGCACCCCAUCUUAGCGGCGGACGGGUGAGUAAUGCUUAGGAAUCUGCCUAUUAGUGGGGGACCACAUUCCGAAAGGAAUGCUAAUACCGCAUACGUCCUACGGGAGAAAGCAGGGGAUCUUCGGACCUUGCGCUAAUAGAUGAGCCUAAGUCGGAUUAGCUAGUUGGUGGGGUAAAGGCCUACCAAGGCGACGAUCUGUAGCGGGUCUGAGAGGAUGAUCCGCCACACUGGGACUGAGACACGGCCCAGACUCCUACGGGAGGCAGCAGUGGGGAAUAUUGGACAAUGGGGGGAACCCUGAUCCAGCCAUGCCGCGUGUGUGAAGAAGGCCUUAUGGUUGUAAAGCACUUUAAGCGAGGAGGAGGCUACUGAGACUAAUACUCUUGGAUAGUGGACGUUACUCGCAGAAUAAGCACCGGCUAACUCUGUGCCAGCCGCCGCCGUAAAAC
rnacentral:rRNA from 1 species